rnacentral:rRNA from 1 species
UACGUAGGGUGCGAGCGUUAAUCGGAAUUACUGGGCGUAAAGCGUGCGCAGGCGGCUUCGCAAGUCAGACGUGAAAUCCCGGCUACUGGAUGCGUUGAAACUACGGAGCUGGAGUGUGGCAGAGGGAGGUAGAAUUCCACGUGUAGCGGUGAAAUGCGUAGAUAUGUGGAGGAAUACCGAUGGCGAAGGCAGCCUCCUGGGCCAACACUGACGCUCAUGCACGAAAGCGUGGGGAGCAAACAGGAUUAGAUACCCCGUGUACGU